GCCUGGGUGGCUCAGUUGGUUGAGCGUCUGACUUCAGCUCAGGUCAUGAUCUCGCGGUUUGUGGGUUCAAGCCCCGCAUCGGGCU
rnacentral:tRNA from 1 species